UGUUAGCUGUUUAGAGUAGAAGAGGCAACUCUGCAGUCCAAGCCCAUCUGGAGGGAGGUGAGGGGGGCACCCCCCAAUUGAGAAAUUCUCAUUGAAUUCAGUGGGGGUUUAUUCCCAGGUAUCAGGAAGAUUGUGUUGCUUGCAAGUGCAACUGAAAAAUCACUUGACAUUAGAUGGGACGUCAAAAGCUAUGUCCAGGGUCGGACGAAACAGCGGGUGGUUCGAUUCAACCCUGGACCAUGGAACCGAACUAGCUCGAGGUCGAACCUGUUCGCACAUCCUGGCUGCAUUACUUGUACUAUGCGACCAGAGGGAAGUCUAAAAGGUGCGUGUUUGCCCAGUUAGCAGAGACGUGCUUUCCUGUUAAGUUAGUUGUCACCAUGUGGUCAAUACUUUUCACUCAUUCAAAUUUGUAAGCACAUUAAUAAAAAUACACAUCAGAAAUCUUCAUGUAUCUCCAGAAAUCAGGAGUUUGAGAUAAAUCCUGAGA